rnacentral:rRNA from 1 species
GACGAACGCUGGCGGCGUGCUUAACACAUGCAAGUCGAACGGAAAGGCCCUGCUUUUGUGGGGUGCUCAAGUGGCGAACGGGGGAGUAUCACGUGAGUAACCUGCCCUUUACUUUGGGAUAACUUCAGGAAACUGGGGCUAAUACCGGAUAUGAGCUCCUGCUGCAUGGUGGGGGUGGGAAAGUUUCGGCGGUUGGGGAUGGACUCGCGGUUUAUCAGCUUGUUGGUGGGGUAGUGGCUUACCAAGGCUUUGACGGGUAGCCGGCCUGAGAGGGUGACCGGCCACAUUGGGACUGAGAUACGGCCCAGACUCCUACGGGAGGCAGCAGUGGGGAAUAGUGCACAAUGGGCGGAAGCCUGAUGCAGCAACGCCGCGUGCGGGAUGACGGCCUUCGGGUUGUAAACCGCUUUCGCCUGUGACGAAGCGUGAGUGACGGUAAUGGGUAAAGAAGCACCGGCUAACUACGUG